GCCGUUCCUCUCUCCCGCCUUCACUUUCGUUGCUGCAGCCUCCCUCGCCGUCGGACCACCAUCACGCCACUGUUUCGUUCGCAGCAACCACCACCGCGCCACCAGCCGCGCCCAUAACGAUUGUUCGCCGCCGCACCACCAACAACCAUCGCGCGGACGCUGACACCCUCCGCCGUACUCCUCCGACCAGCGUCGCCGCCCACUGUUGCCGCGCCGCCCUGCCUGCCGGCCAGCAGCUCCCCUCUCCUCUCUUUUUUUGGCGGAGAAUUCUCUUUAGGCGACCUUUGAAAGUGUUAAAGUGACGUAUUAGUUUGUUUACACAAGUCUCUAGGGAUCAAUAAGCAUCGUCCAUUACAGGUUUGAAGGUGAUGCAUCAUGGGGUUCGGGAUUGAAGAGCUGUGUAGUUAUUAAAUUGUUUUGUUUUAAGUUUGAUGUUGAAU